rnacentral:lncRNA from 1 species
GCUCAAACUAGAGGAAGAUUCUACCAUCGGGAUUUUAGCUCUCACAAAGUCAAAAACUCUCUAGCUCCUCACCAACCCUUCUACUCUCUAUUCUUCCAUUUUUCCAUCUGUUUUUGAGGUUCGAACUAAGUUAAGCAUCGGAGGGUCAAGAUCGAAGGAUCUCCAUCCAGUUCUUUGACUUGUUUUACAGGAUUUUUUGAAAGAGACUCGUAUUGGAUCGCCAC